CCCGCACAAGCGGUGGAGCAUGUGGUUUAAUUCGAUGCAACGCGAAGAACCUUACCUGGUCUUGACAUCCACAGAACUUAGCAGAGAUGCUUUGGUGCCUUCGGGAACUGUGAGACAGGUGCUGCAUGGCUGUCGUCAGCUCGUGUUGUGAAAUGUUGGGUUAAGUCCCGCAACGAGCGCAACCCUUAUCCUUUGUUGCCAGCGGUUCGGCCGGGAACUCAAAGGAGACUGCCAGUGAUAAACUGGAGGAAGGUGGGGAUGACGUCAAGUCAUCAUGGCCCUUACGACCAGGGCUACACACGUGCUACAAUGGCAUAUACAAAGAGAAGCGACCUCGCGAGAGCAAGCGGACCUCAUAAAGUAUGUCGUAGUCCGGAUUGGAGUCUGCAACUCGACUCCAUGAAGUCGGAAUCGCUAGUAAUCGUAGAUCAGAAUGCUACGGUGAAUACGUUCCCGGGCCUUGUACACACCGCCCGUCACACCAUGGGAGUGGGUUGCAAAAGAAGUAGGUAGCUUAACCUUCGGGAGUGCGCU
rnacentral:rRNA from 1 species